UGUUGGUAGAAAAAAUUAUUCCCCAAACCAGGACUUGAUCUGUUUAUUUCUGGUUUUUGCCAGAUAAUUUAAAUGCCUUAGGUUGAAAACUGAAAUUGCAUUUAUAACUCACAGGCCUGCAGGGCACUUUCCAGUGUUCAGAGCAGGCUCAACUUCAUUAUCUGGGUUUGCCUUCUGGGUUUGACUUCUCACUGCCACCGUAAAGAUGAGAAGUGAGAGGACAGUGGGAAGGGACUCACAGGUCCCCUGUGUUUUCUGCCCUGAGCCUGGGUUCCUCUCAAACCUCAAAAAGAGUUCCCAUUGUGGCUCAGUGGGUUAAGAACCCUACAUAGCCUCCAAGAGGUUGUGGGUUUGAUCCCUGGCCUCGCUCAGUGGGUUAAGGAGCUGGCAUUGCUGCAAGCUGUGGUGUAGGGUGCAGAUACGGCUCACAUCCUGCACUGCUGUGGCUGUGGUGUGGGCCUCAGCUGCAGCUCCAGUUUGACCCCUAGCCUGGGAACCUCCCAUAUGCCACAGGUGCGGCCCUAAAAAGAAAAAAAUAAAUAAAUAAAAUAAAAGCUGGUCGGCUCUCAUCACCACCUCUAAAGAUGAGGGGCAGACCUGCCAAAAUGUGAUUUUACUGCUAUGACAGUAAAAGUGUUCAUUCCUAAGGGAGAACAUAACCAGUGGAUUCUGUAAAUGUCUGGUCGAUAAUUAUAUUUUGAAGCAGUUUUAUGAUCACUUAAGUUGAUCUUGGCUAGUGUUCCAAACUAUUUCCUCUUCUGGGAAGUUCCCGUUCUGGCUCAGUGGAAACGAGCCCAGCUAGUAUCCAUGAGGAUGCGGGUUCGAUCCCUGGCCUCCCUCAGUGGGUUAAGGAUCCGGCGUUGCUGUGGCUAUGGCGUAGGUCACAGACACAGCUGGGAUCUGGCAUGGCUGUGGCUGUGGGGUAGGCCAGCAGCUGCAGCUCCAGUGCAACUCCUAGCCUGGAAACUUCCAUAUACCAUGAGUGUGGUCUUAAAAAAAAGAAAAAGACACCAAGUUCUGUGACCCAGCGCACUGCCUCUCUGGAUUCAGGGUUAACAGCAGAAGUGCCCCUCGAAUAACCAUUGCCGUGUCUGUUCCAUGGGUGGGGCCAGUUGCAUCCAUCACCUUCCCUCUGGGAUGAAAUCUGUCCAUCAGGGAGUCAAUGUUGUGUAAACUUCACUCUGGAAAGGAAACACCUGUCUUUGGUGCUUUUCCCCUUCCCUUCUCGCUCAUUUGCAUUUGCUCUCCCUCCGCUUCCAAAAGAAGCGGGAACUGGAGUUCCCGUCAUGGCUCAGCGACAACAAGCCUGACUAGUAUUCCACGAGGAUGUGGCUUCUAUCCCUGGCCUCGCUCAGUGGCUUAAGGAUCUGGCGUUGCCUUGAGCUGUGGUGUAAUUUGCAGACGUGGCUUGCAUCCCUUCUGGCUGUGGCUGUGGUGUAGACCAGCAGCUACAGCUCCGAUUCAACCCCUAGCCGGGGAGCUUCCAUAUGCCGCACCUUCGGCCCUAAAAAAGGAAAGAAAGAAAGCAAAAAGAAGCAGGAACCUAUAAAAGAGAGGUUUAUUCCUGGAAAGGAGUUUUUUGAGAAGAAAUCUUUUUCUUUCCAAGGUUGCUUAUACACACAUGACAGAAGUAAACACUGGGAAUCUGUGGGUGUGGAUCUUAAAACUUGAGCAGAAACACAAGUUAAUAAAACAAAGGUCCUUUCUCCACUGUUUCGUGGUCCAUCCCAGCAAAGGGUUCUGGGAGCCUGUGAUGGUGCACUUCCCCUGCAGAGAUGAUGGACAGACAGGGCAAGUUGCUUAGUCUCUCUUAAUCUCUCUCUCUCUCUCUCUCUCUCCUUUUUUUUUGUCUUUUUAGGGCCACACCUGCGGCAUAUGGAGGUUCCCAUGCUAGGGGUCCAAUCAGAGCUGUGGCUGCCAGCUUACACCACAACCACAGCAACUCGGGGUCCAAGCCACGUCUGCAACCUGCACCACAGCUCACGGCAACACCGGAUCCUUAACCCACUGAGUGGGGCCAGGGAUUGAACCCACAACCCCAUGGUCACUAGUCAGAUUCGUUUCUGCCGUGCCACAACGGGAACUCCCAG
ensembl:lncRNA